rnacentral:rRNA from 1 species
AGAACGAACGCUGGCGGCACGCCUAACACAUGCAAGUCGAGCGGUAAGGCCCUUUCGGGGGUACACGAGCGGCGAACGGGUGAGUAACACGUGGGUGACCUGCCCUUAGCUCUGGGAUAAGCCUGGGAAACUGGGUCUAAUACCGGAUAUGACCUCGCGAUGCAUGUCGUGGGGUGGAAAGCCUUGUGCGGCUAGGGAUGGGCCCGCGGCCUAUCAGCUUGUUGGUGGGGUGAUGGCCUACCAAGGCGACGACGGGUAGCCGGCCUGAGAGGGCGACCGGCCACACUGGGACUGAGACACGGCCCAGACUCCUACGGGAGGCAGCAGUGGGGAAUCUUGCGCAAUGGGCGAAAGCCUGACGCAGCGACGCCGCGUGAGGGAUGACGGCCUUCGGGUUGUAAACCUCUUUCAGCCCUGACGAAGCGAAAGUGACGGUAGGGCAGAAGAGCACCGGCCAACUACGCGCCAGCAGCCGC